rnacentral:tRNA from 1 species
GCGGAAGUAGCUCAUUUGGUAGAGCACGACCUUGCCGGGGUGGCCGGUUCGAGCCCGGUCUUCCGCU